UACGUAGGAGGCGAGCGUUGUCCGGAAUUACUGGGCGUAAAGAGCGCGUAGGCGGCGCUGUACGACAGGUGUGAAAGCCCCCGGCCCAACUGGGGAGGGUCACUUGUAACGGCAGCGCUUUUGAGUGCAGGAGAGGGAAGUGGAACUCCGGGAGUAGCGGUGAAAUGCGUAGAUACCCGGAGGAACACCAGUGGCGAAGGCGGCUUCCUGGUCUGCUACUGACGCUGUGGCGCGAAAGCUAGGGGAGCAAACGG
rnacentral:rRNA from 1 species